UACGGAGGAUGCGAGCGUUAUCCGGAUUCAUUGGGUUUAAAGGGUGCGUAGGCGGACUAAUAAGUCAGUGGUGAAAUUUUGCAGCUUAACUGUAAACGUGCCGUUGAUACUGUUAGUCUUGAGUAUGGUCAAGGUAGGCGGAAUGUGUAAUGUAGCGGUGAAAUGCUUAGAUAUUACACAGAACAUCGAUUGCGAAGGCAGCUUACUGGGCCACCACUGACGCUGAUGCACGAAAGCGUGGGGAGCGAACAGG
rnacentral:rRNA from 1 species